UUGACCCCGGAUCAGGUAGGACUACCCGCUGAACUUAAGCAUAUCAAUAAGCGGAGGAAAAGAAACCAACAGGGAUUGCCCCAGUAACGGCGAGUGAAGCGGCAACAGCUCAGAUUUGGAAUCUGGCCCCCAGGGCCCGAGUUGUAAUCUGGAGAGGAUGCUUCUGGCGCGGCGCCUUCCGAGUUCCCUGGAACGGGACGCCGGAGAGGGUGAGAGCCCCGUACGGUUGGACGCCUAGCCUUUGUGAAGCUCCUUCGACGAGUCGAGUAGUUUGGGAAUGCUGCUCAAAAUGGGAGGUAAAUUUCCUCUAAAGCUAAAUACCGGCCAGAGACCGAUAGCGCACAAGUAGAGUGAUCGAAAGAUGUAAAGCACUUUGAAAAGAGGGUCAAACAGUACGUGAAAUUGUUGAAAGGGAAG
rnacentral:rRNA from 1 species